UACGUAGGGUGCAAGCGUUGUCCGGAAUUAUUGGGCGUAAAGGGCGCGUAGGUGGCCUGCUAAGCGUGCGGUGAAAGCUCGGGGCUCAACCCCGAGUCGGCCGUGCGAACUGGUGGGCUUGAGCACUGUAGAGGCAGGCGGAAUUCCGGGUGUAGCGGUGGAAUGCGUAGAGAUCCGGAAGAACACCGGUGGCGAAGGCGGCCUGCUGGGCAGUAGCUGACACUGAGGCGCGACAGCGUGGGGAGCAAACAGG
rnacentral:rRNA from 1 species